GCCAGCAUAGCUCAGCAGGUAGAGCAACUGACUUGUAAUCAGUAGGUCGCGGGUUCGAUUCCUGUUGCUGGCU
rnacentral:tRNA from 1 species